GGAAAGAAACGGCCGCCGCCGCGGGAGCUGGCUCUGGUGGCCGGAGGCGGGUCCUUCUCUUCCCGCAGUUCCCGCAAACGCUCCGCUCCCUAGAGCCGCUGCCUUCAGUGCGCUCAGACCCUGGAUGUGAAGGUUCACGCCGGCGCCAGCCGACGCCGGGAGAAGUAGCGGCGCCCCCACUCAUCAUCUUCCCAAGGCAGCGCCUGGUGGCCACCGAGACCGAAGCGCAGUUGGAGUGCGAGAGGGAGCCUGAGACGCCCGGACCUAAGCCGGCAGCGCGGGACCCGCCGGAGCCCGAGGGGCUUCCGGCCCAAAGGGAGACGCACUUGAGUGAUCGCGAGGAGCAAACUUAGCGCUCUCAGCCUCGGGCCUCGGAGAGGUGAGAGAUUCCUACUGCGCCCUUCUCCCUUCCAAGGCCGAGAUCCCGCCACACAUCCUCUUGCCGCGCCACGGGACUCCAGACGCGGGAGUGUGAGCGGUAAGACCCGGGAGCGCGUCGCCGGCGCGCCGCUCUCUCCCUGAAGCUUCUCUGCGGAACUCUGGCCGCAUUCCGGGAGCCCAGACCGAGCCAUCGCUCUGAGUCUGCCUGCACUCCGCCCUGUUCCGUCUCUCUGUUUGUCUUGGGCUCAGUGACUCUGUGCUUCUCGCCUUCAGUGACUCUCUGCCUCCGUUUCCAGUGGAAACCCUGCGUUUGUUUGGGGGCCUCUAGGGGUCCGAGAAUCCUUGGUCAAUUUUCCCCACCCCCAGUCGUACUGCAGGACUGCACUGCCCCCUUUCUGGCCGGACCCGGAUCCGUGGGCUCUAUGGACCAGCAGCACGCCCGCCACAGAGACCUUCCUCAGUGAACCCUGACCUCAGCCCUGGGCCAGCGUUGCCUCAUCUCUCAGGAUCCUGUGCACACAAGAGCACAUCAAUUCUUGGCAGCUGGUCCUGACUACCACACCCCCAUUCCAAGCCCCCUUGCAAUGGGGCAGCUGCCAAGAGCUGCCAAGAAGAAUGGAGGACGGGAGACCUGGGAGCACUUCCCAGGAGAGGUGGUAACUGCAGCAAAUUUUCCUCUUCCACACUAAAGCAACUGGGUUCCCCACAGGAGCAAGUGGCUUUCAGCUACCAGAAGCCACUCCCCGCCCAAAAUAGCAUCCAAAUGGAUCCUGGCUUCCUUCCCCUGGAUUUCCUGCUCAAAUCAGAUGUGCAAAACUUCCCCGACAAUUUACCUCAACUGAAACAAAGAAAUAAGCCAAGAAAAAAGAAGAGGUGGAAUCCAGAAAACAGAGAAUCCAGCACCGGAUAGAAAUGGAGGGAAUUCCAAGGAAUCCCAGGGAUAACACUGACAGGAAAUUUCAGGUCCACAUCUGUGCAGCAGGCAUGGAGAGCGAUCAGCCCAGACUGGAUCUGGAAGACAGAGAACUCGAGGAGAAAUGCUCCCAGGAAAAGAAAAAUACAACCAGCAAAAGCAAUGACAGAUUCCUGAUAAGUCUGACCUCGUAAAAAAGCAUACCCCAAUACUUCUGGAAGAUACAGGAAGAUUUAGCCAUAGGGACAAAGAAAGCAAGACAAAUGAAAAAAUAGGGCAUCAACUCCAGGAAAAAAGUUGCACACACACAAAAAAGAAUUGUAGUCUUGGUGCACUAGCAGCUUAUCCGAGAACAAUAUUUAUAUAGUAAUAAAAUAUAAAUGCUAAAAGCCGAUAGUUUGGACAGGGAUGGAAAGAAAUAACAAUUUUAGAGGUAAGCGAUUAUUAUAAUAGGAAGUUAAUCAUUACUGUUUCAAGAGAACAGAAAUGUGGAAGUAUAUUCCAAAAGAGACAAAUAGGAAUUCAGAGUAGAUGCUUCCAGGGAACAAAACAGCGAUCCUGAGAGUAGGCAAGGCACUCUCACAGGCCUUUGCUGUUUGACUUGUUAGAUUACAUGCCUGUUUCAAUUUAAUAAAUUAAGUGUCAAAAAUGUG